GUGGGGAAUUUUGGACAAUGGGCGCAAGCCUGAUCCAGCAAUGCCGCGUGCAGGAAGAAGGCCUUCGGGUUGUAAACUGCUUUUGUACGGAACGAAACGGUCCGGGUUAAUACCCUGGGCUAAUGACGGUACCGUAAGAAUAAGCACCGGCUAACUACGUGCCAGCAGCCGCGGUAAUACGUAGGGUGCAAGCGUUAAUCUGAAUUACUGGGCGUAAAGCGUGCGAAGGCGGUUUUGUAAGACAGGCGUGAAAUCCCCGGGCUCAACCUGGGAAUUGCGCUUGUGACUGCAAGGCUGGAGUGCGGCAGAGGGGGAUGGAAUUCCACGUGUAGCAGUGAAAUGCGUAGAUAUGCGGAGGAACACCGAUGGCGAAGGCAAUCCCCUGGGCCUGCACUGACGCUCAUGCACGAAAGCGUGGGGAGCAAACAGGAUUAGAUACCCGUGUAGUCC
rnacentral:rRNA from 1 species